CGGAAGUCGGAGGUUAAAMCCUCCCUAGUGCU
rnacentral:tRNA from 1 species